GUAAUGUCUAAUUUUUAUAAUUUUUUACUGCUGUUUCCUACAUUUUCUAUGCAAAUAUUUUUUAAUAAAAAAAGACGUGACUAAAAUAACAGAUUCGCAGUACCACGAAUUGGAUACGGCGUAAUGAAUACGAACUGGAUACACCAAACGUAAUCGAUCGCAGUGCGAUGUUAUACGCACAUACACGCAGAAAAUAUGUGAGCGUAAAAAAAAAGACCGAGAGAACCAUCUGUCUAAUCUAAGCCACCAUAGAGAUAUUAUUAAAAGUGGUCAAAGACAAAUUUUCGUGACUGUCAAGUGGAUCCGAGGAUAAUUGAAGAACGAUGACAUUAUAUCAACCAUUUUGGCUAUCGAGGAUAGAACAAUUGUUUUACGUGACUAAAUCGUUUUAUAAUCGGGUGUAAUUGAUAGCUCUUAUCACGAGAGAGAGGAAUCAAUCGAUUGAACCAUGACGCACAUUAAUCGAUAUUACGAAAAUUGAUAACACACGACGUGAACGUUCUGAUCGCCGCUGUAAACAGUCAAUUGCCAGACAAUAGAUCGGGUUUCACAAGAAGUCGAUAAUCGAGCAAAAUCGGACAGCGAAAUUAAGAAGCAGCGUUGUCCUAUCAACAGGAACUUGCCUACAGGAAACAUUUGUCGUCUGCAUAACUUUUCGAACUUAUCUUAUCUCACUUUCGUGGAAGUCCGCCAAAUAAAUAGAGAUCACUACUCUCAACAAAUAAUGACGUUCCAUAUAAAGUAGCACUAUAAUCACUAUAUAUUUUUAGAAGCAUAGGAAAAUGACGUAAUCGCUUUAAAAAGAUAUAAAUCUAAAUCUAUUUAAUUAAAAUUAUCUAAAAAGAAUGAAAAAACGCACACAGUAAAAUGUAUAAUUAAAAAAAAACUUUAUGUAAUUGACAUCGCGUUUUGUUUACCACAAAGUUUCUAACAAAAUUUAAUACAAUUUGCCGAGCUAACAAGUUGAUAUGUUUAAAAAUUUUAUCAAUUUCCUUUUCGUCUUAACAUACAGCACUUGCAAGCGAUUAGAUUUCAUGAGACUCGCGAAAAUGAUACAGAGAAAACGGAUAUGAUACAGAGACGCAAACUUGCUCAGAGAUUACUGCAUCUUACUUCAUAAGCUAAUCUUUAUAAUAUUCGUAGCACAUUCAUAAUACUUUACAUUUUAAUAAUUAACCAAGUACAUUACAUAUAUAAAACCGCAAUUUGUCUAAUUUAUAAAAUUAUGAAUAAAGUGUCGCAAAUUCAGCGGAAA